GGCCUUCGGGUUGUAAACUGCUUUUGUACGGAACGAAAAGGCCCUGGUGAACAACCGGGGUUGCUUGACGGUACCGUAAGAAUAAGCACCGGCUAACUACGUGCCAGCAGCCGCGGUAAUACGUAGGGUGCGAGCGUUAAUCGGAAUUACUGGGCGUAAAGCGUGCGCGGGCGGACAUGCAAGACAGAUGUGAAAUCCCCGGGCUCAACCUGGGAACUGCAUAUGUGACUGUAUGACUGGAGUACGGCAGAGGGGGAUGGAAUUCCGCGUGUAGCAGUGAAAUGCGUAGAUAUGCGGAGGAACACCGAUGGCGAAGGCAAUCCCCUGGGCCAGUACUGACGCUCAUGCACGAAAGCGUGGGGAGCAAACAGGAUUAGAUACCCUGGUAGUCC
rnacentral:rRNA from 1 species